rnacentral:lncRNA from 1 species
GGUGCCAAUCACACGACUAAGGUUGUGACCUGUGCUUUUGACCAACCAACUAUAAGUUGGGGUUCCCAAGACCCCCUCCUUGGUUUCAAUUAAUUUGCUAGAGCAGCUCACAGAACACUUACUUUACAUUUACCGGUUUCUUUUAAAGGAUAUGAUAAAGGAUACAGAUGAGCAGCCAGAUGGAAGAGAUGCACAGGGCAAGUCAUGUGGGAAGGGGCGCGGAGCUGCCAUGUGCUUUCCGGAAGAUCCACCCUCCAGGCGCCUCCACAGGUUCAGCUGUCUGGAGCCUCCUGAACCAAGUUUUCUUUGGUUUUUAUGGA